ACAGAAAUGAGAUGUACCCGAAAGGUACCCAAAAUGUAUCUGUAAGGUACCCGAAGCAACUUUUUCCUUGAAAAAUGUACCCAAAAAGUACCCGCAAAAAACUUAGCCAUUUUUCGACAGUACCCGGAACGUACCCGACUAUUGUAAAAAGUACCCAAAAUGUACCCAGAUUAAAAAUUGAAAAGUUAAAAUGUACCUGAAAUGUACCCAACAGAAAAAUAUAAAUGUUCAAAUGUACCCGAAUUGUACCCAGGGUAUCAAUUAAGUUAAAAUGUAUUCGAUAUGUACCCACUUUAAAGUUACUAAGUUGAAAUGUACCCGAAAUGUACCCAACAAAAAAUAUUAAUGUUGAAAUGUUUACCAGAAAUGUACCCUGGGUAAAUUAAAAAGUUAAAUUGUACACGUAAUGUACCAACUUUAAAUGUGACUAUUGAAAAUGUACCCGAAAUGUACCCAUUUAAAUAAACCUUGUCAUUUCACAACAGAUACAAAUAAUAUGAAAAUAAACAUUAAACAAUUUCACAACUGAUUUUGAAAUAAGAAAGCUUUUAUAGUCAAUUGUACCAGCAUUAUGUACCCAACUUCAAUCUGGCAUGUUUUUUUUUUAUUGAUGUAUGUAUGUUGUAGACAUUUUUUGUUUAAAAAAAUAUAUAUAUAUAUGAAAUAGUGCAAAUCCUGUUGAUGUUAAUGAAUUUUAAUUUAUCUAUAAAAAGUUUUUUUUUUUGUUCUGCCAUUAAGGUAGCUAUAGUAUUAAAGAAAAUCUGAAGGAUUACAUGAAGGGAUCCAUCCCUAAACCUCUAAAUGGAAAGCUAUUUUCCAUUUUUUAAAAACAUAACAAUCAAAAAUAAAUAAUUGUAGAGACCUAGUAGUAAGAUAUAGUCUUUUGAACUUGAUAAUGCUACAUGAUUGUUAGUCUGCACCAAUUUCAUAAGAAAAAAUUAUCUGACAGUCACUGAAUUUAAUUAUAUAUUUGGUAAACAAUCUGUAUAUAUCAUAAUACAUACAUAUAUGGAUCUAUCUGUAUUUGAUUUUUUUUGGGGGGGGGGUGUUGUUUUUUUUUUUAAUAUUGAUAUACACUGUAUGUCAAAAGAUGUCCCUGCAGAAGGAAAUUAUUGAAGAUCAUCAUAUUAUUUUUAUAAACUAGUUAACUUAUUAAUUAAUUAACCAAUCAAUUCAGAGCGGGUCUUCACAGUACUUGGCUCUAACGACCGUAAAUUGAGAUCGGGUUCCUGAUAAAAAGCAUCAGGUGUGCACUCUGAGUUCCUGCGCAUAGUCAGCAUGCAGACCAUGCAGACGCCAUUUUUAUGAUGUUGUGACCUACCGUAAACAUUAUGAACAGACAAAGAAUAGCCUUCAACAGGGACCCGAGGGAGUUCGUGGUGUUAUCCUGAAGAGAUUCCCAACCAUUAAAAUAUAAUUCAUGAUAGAUACAGAAUUUAUAUGGUGUGACCACUGACCAGACUGGUUUUAAUAUGCCAUUCUGAGAAUUACACUAUGCAGACCUGGAUCAAUGUUUAUAUAGUUCCAAAAUGAGUUUACUCUGAAUGACACUUCAGUUCAUGCACAUUUUAGAAUGUACGUCAUCAAUGUUCUCCCAAAGGAAAGUGAGCAAAAACUUAUCCAGAGAAUCAACAGCUCAUUUUUGUGAAACUUUUUAAAAUGCGCAGGAGAAAUAGGAUUACGAAGAAGAGAAGCUUUGUCAUAAUUUUUAUAGUAUGAAUUAAAUGCAAUUUCUCAUA